GACGAACGCUGGCGGCGUGCUUAACACAUGCAAGUCGAACGCUGAAGCUCAGCUUUUGUUGGGUGGAUGAGUGGCGAACGGGUGAGUAACACGUGAGUAACCUGCCCCCUUCUUUGGGAUAACGCCCGGAAACGGGUGCUAAUACUGGAUAUUCACUGGUCUUCGCAUGGGGGUUGGUGGAAAGGGUUUUUCUGGUGGGGGAUGGGCUCGCGGCCUAUCAGCUUGUUGGUGGGGUGAUGGCCUACCAAGGCUUUGACGGGUAGCCGGCCUGAGAGGGUGACCGGUCACAUUGGGACUGAGAUACGGCCCAGACUCCUACGGGAGGCAGCAGGGGGGAAUAUUGCACAAUGGGCGCAAGCCUGAUGCAGCGACGCCGCGUGAGGGAUGGAGGCCUUCGGGUUGUGAACCUCUUUCGCUCAUGGUCAAGCCGCAACAAUGGUUGUGGUGAGGGUAGUGGGUAAAGAAGCGCCGGCUAACUACGUG
rnacentral:rRNA from 1 species